rnacentral:rRNA from 1 species
ACGCGACCCCAGUUCAGGC